UAAGGUUCCACGAUAGGUUUCAAUUUUUUCCGUAAGUAUCAAAAAAUACAUCUUAAAAUGUUAAUAAAAUAUUACUACUAUAAUUCGACUUCUAAGAAAAGACCAAGUGUUUUGAACCUAAGGGAAUGUAUCUUGUUUGAGGGAAUAAAGUUGCUCUAACUUGUCCAAAUGUCUAUUUACACAAAACGUUGAGCCAAACCUGUCUUCUUCACUUUUCCCCAAAGAUACCUUUCGGAAAAAUGGCAUCCCACCAUCACUACCACCACCCAUACCCUACGGCCGCCACCAUCAACCCCACCACCCCCAUCACCACCAUCUGUUACUGCUACUCUUGUCACCCCACCCCCACUCCUACCCCCACCCCCNNNNNNNNNNNNNNNNNNNNNNNNNNNNNNNNNNNNNNNNNNNNNNAAGAAAGGGAUUGAAAAAUGUCAUAUUUGCGAGAAAUGUGGAAAAGGGUUUGCUUCAAUGAGGGCACUUUUUGGUCACAUGAAAGUUCACUCGAAAAGAUCAACGGGCGAUGAUCAAGAUUCUGAAUUAUCAAAGCAGAGUUUAUCGGAUUUCGAUAACAUUUGCCCAAUUCGGAAGAAGAGAUCAAAGAUAAAGUACAAGAUUGAUGUGAACUCUUCUUUUUCUGGUGUGAAGGAAUCUUCUUCUGCAAUUAGUGAAGUUGACGAAGUGGAAGAAGCUGCUAGGUGUUUGCUGAUGUUGUCAGUGGGUGUGAGGGACUGGGAUGAGUACAUUUCGGUUUUGGAGAAUUCUAAAAAUGAGAAUGUCAUUCUUGAAAGUGAAUCAUCAUUUCACUGUGCUAAGGGGAUUUCUGCUGCUGAUGCUUUUACUGUAAAGCAUUUGUCUCAUGCUGUCUUUUCUGAUUCUGGCUGUGUUGAUGAUUAUGAAAAGAAUUAUGAAAUCGCUGAAUUUUCGGACGAGUUGAUGUUGGUCAACACUGAGAUCACAAAGGUGUGCUACUCUACUGAUAUGCAAUUUGAGAAUGAUCCAAGUUCAUCUGUUGUAAUGGAGGAUUUUCCUUCUCUGAAUUCUUGUCCUCUCAAGAAUGCUGGGGUUGAUUUUCAUCCAGAGACAAAUCUUUUAGUAUCUGAGCCUGUCAAAAGCAAGAAGCACAAAUGCCCAGUUUGCUUCAAAGUUUUCCCAUCAGGCCAAUCUUUGGGAGGCCACAAGAGGGCUCAUUACACUGGAUUCACUGAGAGCAAAACUAAAGAGCCUAUGGUGAAAAAAUUGGAUGACCUUGCUGAUAAUCAUAAAGCUUUUGAUCUGAAUACUCCUGUAAAUGCUGUGGAUGUAGGGGAAAAUGAUGUUGAGCUCAAGCUUUGGUGGGUUGGAAGUAGCGACGCGUUGUUGAUGUCAAAUUGAGAGUACUUCAUUCUCAGUUUCUGCUCUAGAGGUUUAAGAACUAGAUGAUUCAUGAUUCUUUUUCAUGCUUGAAUUUCAUAAUUGUAAAGAUAGUUUUGAGUCUUGGAAAAUAGCUAAACAGUUGCAUAAUGACACAGGAAAGAUUAGAGUUUCCAGUUUACUGACUGAACCAUAAUGAGAAUUGAGGCAUACAAAUUGCUACAACAUUACUGUUUACUUUCUGUUCUUUCCAUUCUUGCAUUGUAGUACAUAUUUUCCCAGGCCACUGUACACCUAUGAGUAUCUCUCAUGAUUACUUCAACUCUUGUGGGGUAAUUUGUGCUAUGGGAAAGAAGGGUAAUUAAUUUUUGUUUGUGGCUACUGUGCAGUCUAGAAUUGGAUUUAAUCUGUUGAGUUGGAAAGAAACAUGUUGAGAUGACGUUCCUGGAUUAUAUACAAAAGAUCAAUGAAAAAUUGGCAGCUGGUCUUUGGUGAUUGUGUAAUGAACGUCUUUGGUGAUUGUGUAAUGAACCAAGAUAUAAACAGGUUAUAGAAAUUGGCCAUUUGAUGUCUCUUGAUCUGAACUCUACAGUCGUCUUACUUUGCAAAAAGAGUGUUAACUUUGACUUCAGCCAAAGAUGAGAAUGUGUUGCCAUAGUACUCUAAUUGUUUCAGUUCAACAGGUGUUGUAAGAAAUUUGGUACAAAGAUACUGACAAGUUACAUGGAUGAGCUAAAAGAAAUGACUUUGUUAUUGUUUUCAUUGUUCCUUUCAGCCGAAGCCAUCGGAAAUGACCUUCCUACCUACUCAAGAUAGAGUUAAGCGUAUGCUGUAUCCUAGAUUGAAAUAUGGUUGGAAUUUCCCAUAGAUAAAGAACUAUACAGAUCAAAUAGAUUUGAGUAGUCAAUUUUCUGUUAGCACCUAACAGUUUUGGGUGCGCUCAUUGUCACUUCGCACUUGUUUGAGAAAAGAGUAACCCCUCCAUUCCAAAACGAGUGCAGUUGGUUUCGUUUUUCAUGAGUUAAUUUAUCUAACUUUUAAAGCUAAGCUAAUUCAACAUUUUAAAACUAAAAUUCAUAUAUUAAAGACUACACAAAAAAUACUAUCGCACGGGGUGAAGUAGGACUAGAGACACGUGACACCAAUGACAAGGCCGUCCCGAAGUUUCAGUUUCAGUUGCACUAAAGAGUGCUGAGUCUCGAGAGGCCUCCAGAUGAAGAUAACGGUGACGCCCUCUCGGUUAGAAUAAGGUUCCACGAUAGGUUUCAAUUUUUUCCGUAAGUAUCAAAAAAUACAUCUUAAAAUGUUAAUAAAAUAUUACUACUAUAAUUCGACUUCUAAGAAAAGACCAAGUGUUUUGAACCUAAGGGAAUGUAUCUUGUUUGAGGGAAUAAAGUUGCUCUAACUUGUCCAAAUGUCUAUUUACACAAAACGUUGAGCCAAACCUGUCUUCUUCACUUUUCCCCAAAGAUACCUUUCGGAAAAAUGGCAUCCCACCAUCACUACCACCACCCAUACCCUACGGCCGCCACCAUCAACCCCACCACCCCCAUCACCACCAUCUGUUACUGCUACUCUUGUCACCCCACCCC
rnacentral:lncRNA from 1 species